UUGAAUAAAUGUCAAAUGCAGAAAAACCAAAAUGAAAAUGAAACAAAACCCCCUGAUAGCAUCACCUUUUUAGCAAUGUUUAUUUGAAACAAAAGCAAGAAACCUCUAAAGUGUAAAACAAGAGAACUGAUUUUGAUCCAGAACAGUAACGUGAAAGGGGCUCUGCUGUUCUGUAAACUGGAUUAAGUGUGUCCAGGACCAGCUCUGUCAGCAGCACCGAUUCCUAGUCCCUCUCCCUCUCCCGAGCAGGCAGUGCCGGCAAAGAUAGUUCUUGUGCGAAGGAAAUGGGAACCACUUGCCUAGUUACCAAAAUCUGUUGUCUGCGAAACUUUCUACCCGCCCGAGAGGAAGUUCUGCAUGCAAGGCCGCACGCAAGCAUAGACAUGAUGGUUCCAGUGCCUCUUCAAGAGCAACUCCCCAUCCCUUAGAUGCUCUGGACUGUGCUGUUCAGCCCUGGGAUGCAGGAAGGAUGCAGGUUUGUGGGGUCUGCACUGGAUGAGGGUCAUAUUGGUGAAUUUUGGUCUUCAAGAAAAGGAAAGACCAAUACGUGGCAAGAACCAAGUAUAGAGCAGUAGGCAUCACGAACUUUUGAUUAGAAACUGGUCAGACAUUCCCAGAGUGGUUGAGAGCCUGUCAAGGUCACUGCCAAGGACAAGAGAGUCAAUUAGUAUGCAGAUCAGAGCCAAGGAGUUCAAAGGAGAUGCUCAAUAAAAUCCUGAGAGCUGGAAACACUGGAAAAGCCUGAGUCUCCACAAGAGGAAAAUCUAUAAAGUGAAAUUGUUAAACAGAACUGGACAAAUGAAAGCAUUAAGGGUGCAGACACUCAGAAGUAAUCAGGAAGGAGGAGAAGGUGAAGUGACUCACCCAAGAUCAUGCAGAGAGUCAGUGGCAGAGCCGGCAUUUCAUACACAGCAGUUUUAACUCCCAGCCUCCUUCUGUAACUGCUGCACCAGAUUGGGUGCUAAAAUGACUAACUGCAAGGGUGAUAGCAUUCCAGAGGGAGCAAUAUUCUGGGAACGGCGCUGUCUGGCUGAGGCAGUAAGAUCGAAAUGAUGGCAACAUCACUCACUCGCCUACAGGAAGUCAGGAAAGGGCUACAUCGCUCCCAGAAAUGCUGCUUUCAGAAAUGAUAAUGUCAAAAGGAAUGGCAGCCUGUGCGGGUGCCCCCCUGGCAGUAAGGAAUGUGUUGGUGCACUACCUGAAGAGCAAUAGUACGCAGCAUUAAAAAUGGACCCAUCUGAAGGAACAGGAAGAGCUGCCCUACAGAGGAACAGAGUGUGAAGAGACAGAGUUUGUCCCAGUAGGGACACUGUUUGCCCUGAGGCCCCUGUGAGAGCCCUGCAGAAGCAGCAGUGAGAGGCUGUACUGAGAGUGCUGCACUGUGUCUGUUCUCCCUCCCUUCCCCUCGGACCCCUGCCAGGGCAGGACAAGAGAGAAGCUGCCUUUGAAGAGACUCCGAGCCUGGGAAGACCAUCCUGCAAGCCCCUGUGUGGCUGGGUGAGCACAGCAGGGGAGGGGGAUGCAGGGCCAGGGGGAGACUGCUGGAGACUGCCCUGGUGUUUCCCUGUGAGUGAGAAGGCAUUGGGGAGGGGCAGGCUCAGGGAGUUGGGGGAGCCCUGGGCUAGAGGGGCAGGGACUGCUUCGGCCACCAGAAGCCUCAGGGCAGGCAGGGCCCAGGGAGGGGCUGCAUUUGCUGGGUGCCGUGAGGCUAUGCUGGGCAGGGGAAACUGUUGCAAUCUACAGCCCAGACACUGCUCCCUGCUGUGCCAGGGAUGGGGGUCUGGGCAGAGAUAAGCUUUCUUGCAGGGACCGCAAGGGAGGAGCCACCGCCUGUUGCACAGAGACCCCUGGAGCUUGUGAGAGGGACAUCAGCAGCAGGGACCACCCACAGCUCCUGUGCCAGGGACACAGAUGCAGCCCUGCUUUCUGAGACACCCUACCAGGGGCAGUGCACACAGGGUCCUCAGUACACAGUGUACAAGUUAUAGACUGUGUAAAUAAGUUCUUGAUGGUUUAUUAGUUGGAGUAUCAAUGUAUUUAUUUAUUGGUUCCUUAUUUAUUGUGGGUAAUUUGUACACCUUCCCCUCAUGUAAUGUGUAUCCAAGAAGCAUUUACCUUUAAGCCACCAUCGCCAGGUCAUGCAGUAUAACAUUUGUUUUAUUGUACUGAUUAUAUGUUACCUUGUAAAUAAUUAAAUCCUGUAAAUUGCUUUAUAA